GAUGAACGCUGGCGGCGUGCCUAACACAUGCAAGUCGAACGAAGCACUUUAUUUGAUUUUCCUCGGGACUGAUUAUUUUGUGACUGAGUGGCGGACGGGUGAGUAACGCGUGGGUAACCUGGCUUUUACAGGGGGAUAACCGAUGGAAACGGCUGCUAAUAACGCAUAAGCGCACAGCAUCGCAUGAUGCAGUGUGAAAAACUCCGGUGGUAUAAGAUGGACCCGCGUUGGAUUAGCUAGUUGGUGAGGUAACGGCCCACCAAGGCGACGAUCCAUAGCCGACCUGAGAGGGUGACCGGCCACAUUGGGACUGAGACACGGCCCAAACUCCUACGGGAGGCAGCAGUGGGGAAUAUUGCACAAUGGGCGAAAGCCUGAUGCAGCGACGCCGCGUGAGCGAAGAAGUAUUUCGGUAUGUAAAGCUCUAUCAGCAGGGAAGAUAAUGACGGUACCUGACUAAGAAGCACCGGCUAAAUACGUG
rnacentral:rRNA from 1 species